rnacentral:rRNA from 1 species
GAUGAACGCUGGCGGCGUGCCUAAUACAUGCAAGUCGAGCGAAUGGAUUAAGAGCUUGCUCUUAUGAAGUUAGCGGCGGACGGGUGAGUAACACGUGGGUAACCUGCCCAUAAGACUGGGAUAACUCCGGGAAACCGGGGCUAAUACCGGAUAACAUUUUGAACCGCAUGGUUCGAAAUUGAAAGGCGGCUUCGGCUGUCACUUAUGGAUGGACCCGCGUCGCAUUAGCUAGUUGGUGAGGUAACGGCUCACCAAGGCAACGAUGCGUAGCCGACCUGAGAGGGGGAUCGGCCACACUGGGGCUGAGACACGGCCCAGAAUCCUACGGGAGGCAGCAGUAGGGAAUCUUCCGCAAUGGACGAAAGUCUGACGGAGCAACGCCGCGUGAGUGAUGAAGGCUUUCGGGUCGUAAAACUCUGUUGUUAGGGAAGAACAAGUGCUAGUUGAAUAAGCUGGCACCUUGACGGUACCUAACCAGAAAGCCACGGCUAACUACGUGCCAGCCGCCGCGGUAA